GCAAGUCGAGCGCUUCCCUUCGGGGAGGAGCGGCGGACGGGUUAGUAACGCGUGGGAAUAUACCCAGUUCUAAGGAAUAGCCACUGGAAACGGAGAGUAAUACCUUAUACGCCCUUCGGGGGAAAGAUUUAUCGGAGAAGGAUUAGCCCGCGUAAGAUUAGAUAGUUGGUGGGGUAAUGGCCUACCAAGUCUACGAUCUUUAGCUGGUUUGAGAGGAUGAUC
rnacentral:rRNA from 1 species